UACGUAGGGGGCUAGCGUUGUCCGGAAUCAUUGGGCGUAAAGAGCGCGUAGGCGGCUAGAUAAGUCCGGUGUGAAAGUCACAGGCUCAACCUGUGAAUGCCGCGGGAAACUGUCUGGCUAGAGUCCGGAAGGGGCGAGUGGAAUUCCUGGUGUAGCGGUGAAAUGCGCAGAUAUCAGGAGGAACACCAAUGGCGAAGGCAGCUCGCUGGGACGGUACUGACGCUGAGGCGCGAAAGCGUGGGGAGCAAACAGG
rnacentral:rRNA from 1 species